GCCAGUGUGGUAUAAUGGUUUGAGUGUUGGACUAUGACUCUGGAAACCAGGGUUCAAAUCCCAGUUUGGCC